rnacentral:rRNA from 1 species
UACAGAGGGGGCAAGCGUUGUUCGGAAUUACUGGGCGUAAAGGGCGCGUAGGCGGCCUGUUAAGUCGAACGUGAAAUCCCCGGGCUCAACCCGGGAACUGCGUCCGAUACUGGCAGGCUUGAAUCCGGGAGAGGGAUGCGGAAUUCCAGGUGUAGCGGUGAAAUGCAUAGAUAUCUGGAGGAACACCGGUGGCGAAGGCGGCAUCCUGGACCGGCAUUGACGCUGAGGCGCGAAAGCCAGGGGAGCAAACGGG